AGCCGGUCCGAAUGCAGUGGUAUUUACAACUAACUGAUCACAACCGGUUACAGAUUUCUUUGUUCCUUCUCCACUCCCACUGCUUUACUUGACUAGCCUCAA
ensembl:misc_RNA Y_RNA Y RNA